ACAGCACAAAUAUUCCUUGAAAGGUAGUUUUAGCAUAGUAUUUGUCGAGGGAGAGGGGCUGACAGCAAUUGGAUCUUGUCACCUUUGGGGGACUGUGGCCAUGCCCUGAAAGUGAAUUUGGAGGUUCUAUACCC